UGAAGCCACUCCUGCUGAGACGA
rnacentral:misc_RNA from 1 species